AACAAACAAACAAACCUUCCAAUGGCUUCCCAUUACAUUUAAUAAAACCUGCUCGCACUUUCAGAGCUCUCCAUGAUCGGACCUCACCUCUCUCUUCUACUUUAUCUCUUCUCCUCUCCUCCCCCACAGUGACCUGUUUCCAGUUCUUCAACCCUGACAAGCUCAUGCCUGCCUCAGGGCCUUUGCACAUGCUGUCUCCACUACCUGGAGCACUCUUCCUCAACUCUUCAUCUGGUUGUCCACCUCCGUCACUUACUGAAUUUUCAGGUGUUCUCGAGAAGCCUGAAAUCAGUGGCUUUUCCUCACAGUUACGGAAGGAGAUUCUGUGCAGCAGGCUCAGCCAGCGCGGGCAGUAAACCCGGUGUCCAUCCCGCAGCAUUGGUGGGGCAGGUGUGCAGAUCCAGUGGAGAAAAACAAGAUGGUGACUGGAGGCGCUUAAGGAGCUCCCACACAGUGCCUGCUCAUUGCUGUCCAUGCGCCCUGACCUGACUGGCCACACUGAGCCUGCGCAUUUCCUGAUGUGCCUCCCUCACGCUGACAGGCAGACAAGGGAGGCAGGGUAGCCUCCGCAGGA